AUACGGAGGGUGCAAGCGUUACUCGGAAUCACUGGGCGUAAAGCGCGCGCAGGCGGUCUUUUAAGUUGGAUGUGAAAGCCUACGGCUCAACCGUAGAACUGCAUCCAAAACUAUUAGACUAGAGUGUGGGAGAGGAAGAUGGAAUUAGUUGUGUAGGGGUAGAAUCCGUAGAGAUAACUAGGAAUACCAAAAGCGAAGGCAAUCUUCUGGAACACUACUGACGCUGAGGCGCGAAAGCGUGGGGAGCAAACAGGAUUAGAAACCCCAGUAGUCC
rnacentral:rRNA from 1 species